rnacentral:tRNA from 1 species
AUGGGAUUAGUUUAGUGGCAAAACAGAGGCCUCCAAACCCUCCUUCGGUGGUUCGAUUCCAUCAUCCCGUGCCA